rnacentral:misc_RNA from 1 species
GCGUAGCAAUACGUCAGCGGCAGACGGGUGAGUAACGCGUGGGAACGUACCUUUUGGUUCGGAACAACACAGGGAAACUUGUGCUAAUACCGGAUAAGCCCUUACGGGGAAAGAUUUAUCGCCGAAAGAUCGGCCCGCGUCUGAUUAGCUAGUUGGUGAGGUAAUGGCUCACCAAGGCGGGGAUCAGUAGCUGGUCUGAGAGGAUGAUCAGCCACAUUGGGACUGUGAC